rnacentral:rRNA from 1 species
GAAUUCGCCCUUAGAGUUUGAUCCUGGCUCAGGACGAACGCUGGCGGCGCGCCUAACACAUGCAAGUCGAACGAGCGAGAGAGAGCUUGCUUUCUUGAGCGAGUGGCGAACGGGUGAGUAACGCGUGAGUAACCUGCCCUGGAGUGGGGGACAACAGUUGGAAACGACUGCUAAUACCGCAUAAGCCCACGAUCCGGCAUCGGAUUGAGGGAAAAGGAUUUAUUCGCUUCAGGAUGGACUCGCGUCCAAUUAGCUAGUUGGUGAGGUAACGGCCCACCAAGGCGACGAUUGGUAGCCGGACUGAGAGGUUGAACGGCCACAUUGGGACUGAGACACGGCCCAGACUCCUACGGGAGGCAGCAGUGGAGGAUAUUGCACAAUGGGGGAAACCCUGAUGCAGCGACGCCGCGUGGAGGAAGAAGGUUUUCGGAUUGUAAACUCCUGUCGUUAGGGACGAUAAUGACGGUACCUAACAAGAAAGCACCGGCUAACUACGUGCCAGCAGCCGCGGUAAAACGUAGGGUGCAAGCGUUGUCCGGAAUUACUGGGUGUAAAGGGAGCGCAGGCGGACCGGCAAGUUGGAAGUGAAAACUAAGGGCUCAACCCAUAAAUUGCUUUCAAAACUGCUGGCCUUGAGUAGUGCAGAGGUAGGCGGAAUUCCCGGUGUAGCGGUGGAAUGCGUAGAUAUCGGGAGGAACACCAGUGGCGAAGGCGGCCUACUGGGCACCAACUGACGCUGAGGCUCGAAAGUGUGGGUAGCAAACAGGAUUAGAUACCCUGGUAGUCCACACUGUAAACGAUGAUUACUAGGUGUUGGAGGAUUGACCCCUUCAGUGCCGCAGUUAACACAAUAAGUAAUCCACCUGGGGAGUACGACCGCAAGGUUGAAACUCAAAGGAAUUGACGGGGGCCCGCACAAGCAGUGGAGUAUGUGGUUUAAUUCGACGCAACGCGAAGAACCUUACCAAGUCUUGACAUCCUGCGACGCACAUAGAAAUAUGUGUUUCCUUCGGGACGCAGAGACAGGUGGUGCAUGGUUGUCGUCAGCUCGUGUCGUGAGAUGUUGGGUUAAGUCCCGCAACGAGCGCAACCCUUAUGGUCAGUUACUACGCAAGAGGACUCUGGCCAGACUGCCGUUGACAAAACGGAGGAAGGUGGGGAUGACGUCAAAUCAUCAUGCCCUUUAUGGCUUGGGCUACACACGUACUACAAUGGCGUUAAACAAAGAGAAGCAAGACCGCGAGGUGGAGCAAAACUCAGAAACAACGUCCCAGUUCGGACUGCAGGCUGCAACUCGCCUGCACGAAGUCGGAAUUGCUAGUAAUCGCAGAUCAGCAUGCUGCGGUGAAUACGUUCCCGGGCCUUGCACACACCGCCCGUCA